rnacentral:tRNA from 1 species
GCCGAAGUGGCGGAACUGGCAGACGCACACGACUCAAAAUCGUGCGGGUUUAUCCCGUGAGGGUUCGACUCCCUCCUUCGGCACCA